AAAUUGAAGAGUUUGAUCAUGGCUCAGAUUGAACGCUGGCGGCAGGCCUAACACAUGCAAGUCGAGCGGUAGCACAGAGAGCUUGCUCUCGGGUGACGAGCGGCGGACGGGUGAGUAAUGUCUGGGAAACUGCCUGAUGGAGGGGGAUAACUACUGGAAACGGUAGCUAAUACCGCAUAACGUCGCAAGACCAAAGUGGGGGACCUUCGGGCCUCAUGCCAUCAGAUGUGCCCAGAUGGGAUUAGCUAGUAGGUGGGGUAACGGCUCACCUAGGCGACGAUCCCUAGCUGGUCUGAGAGGAUGACCAGCCACACUGGAACUGAGACACGGUCCAGACUCCUACGGGAGGCAGCAGUGGGGAAUAUUGCACAAUGGGCGCAAGCCUGAUGCAGCCAUGCCGCGUGUGUGAAGAAGGCCUUCGGGUUGUAAAGCACUUUCAGCGGGGAGGAAGGCGUUAAGGUUAAUAACCUUGGCGAUUGACGUUACCCGCAGAAGAAGCACCGGCUAACUCCGUGCCAGCAGCCGCGGUAAUACGGAGGGUGCAAGCGUUAAUCGGAAUUACUGGGCGUAAAGCGCACGCAGGCGGUCUGUCAAGUCGGAUGUGAAAUCCCCGGGCUUAACCUGGGAACUGCAUUCGAAACUGGCAGGCUAGAGUCUUGUAGAGGGGGGUAGAAUUCCAGGUGUAGCGGUGAAAUGCGUAGAGAUCUGGAGGAAUACCGGUGGCGAAGGCGGCCCCCUGGACAAAGACUGACGCUCAGGUGCGAAAGCGUGGGGAGCAAACAGGAUUAGAUACCCUGGUAGUCCACGCCGUAAACGAUGUCGAUUUGGAGGUUGUGCCCUUGAGGCGUGGCUUCCGGAGCUAACGCGUUAAAUCGACCGCCUGGGGAGUACGGCCGCAAGGUUAAAACUCAAAUGAAUUGACGGGGGCCCGCACAAGCGGUGGAGCAUGUGGUUUAAUUCGAUGCAACGCGAAGAACCUUACCUGGUCUUGACAUCCACAGAACUUAGCAGAGAUGCUUUGGUGCCUUCGGGAACUGUGAGACAGGUGCUGCAUGGCUGUCGUCAGCUCGUGUUGUGAAAUGUUGGGUUAAGUCCCGCAACGAGCGCAACCCUUAUCCUUUGUUGCCAGCGGUCCGGCCGGGAACUCAAAGGAGACUGCCAGUGAUAAACUGGAGGAAGGUGGGGAUGACGUCAAGUCAUCAUGGCCCUUACGACCAGGGCUACACACGUGCUACAAUGGCAUAUACAAAGAGAAGCGACCUCGCGAGAGCAAGCGGACCUCAUAAAGUAUGUCGUAGUCCGGAUUGGAGUCUGCAACUCGACUCCAUGAAGUCGGAAUCGCUAGUAAUCGUAGAUCAGAAUGCUACGGUGAAUACGUUCCCGGGCCUUGUACACACCGCCCGUCACACCAUGGGAGUGGGUUGCAAAAGAAGUAGGUAGCUUAACCUUCGGGAGGGCGCUUACCACUUUGUGAUUCAUGACUGGGGUGAAGUCGUAACAAGGUAACCGUAGGGGAACCUGCGGUUGGAUCACCUCCUUA
rnacentral:rRNA from 1 species